rnacentral:rRNA from 1 species
GACGAACGCUGGCGGCGUGCCUAACACAUGCAAGUCGAACGGAAAGGCCCUGCGUUUGUGGGGCGCUCGAGUGGCGAACGGGGGAGUAACACGUGAGUAACCUGCCCCUGACUUUGGGAUAACAUCAGGAAACUGGGGCGAAUAUCGGAGAGGAGAUCCUGCUGCAUGGGGGGGGUUGGAAAGUUUCGGCGGUGGGGGAUGGACUCGCGGCUUAUCAGCUUGAUGGUGGGGUAGUGGCGUACCACGGCUUUGACGGGUAGCCGGCCUGAGAGGGUGGCCGGCCACCUUGGGCCUGAGAUACGGCCCAGACUCCUACGGGAGGCAGCAGUGGAGAAUAUUGCGCAAUGGGCGGACGCCUGAUGCGGCAACGCCGCGUUCGGGAUGACGGCCUUCGGGUUGUGAACCGCUUUCGCCUGUGACGAAGCGUGAGUGACGGUAAUGGGUAAAGAAGCCCCGGCUAACUACGUG